AACGAACGCUGGCGGCAUGCCUAACACAUGCAAGUCGAACGAUUAUGGAACUAGCUUGCUAGAACCCAGAUAGUGGCAGACGGGUGAGUAACGCGUGGGAAUCUUCCUAGUAGUACGGAAUAGCCGUUGGAAACGACGAAUAAUACCGUAUAUUCCCUGAGGGGGAAAGAUUUAUCGCUACUAGAUGAGCCCGCGUUAGAUUAGCUAGUUGGUAGGGUAAUGGCCUACCAAGGCAAUGAUCUAUAGCUGGUCUGAGAGGACGACCAGCCACACGGGAAAUGAGAUACGGUCCAAACUCCUACGGGAGGAAGCGGGGGGGAAUAUUGGACAAUGGGCGAAACCCUGAUCCAGCAAUGCCGCGGGGGUGAAGAAGGCUUUAGGGUUGUAAAGCUCUUUUAGUAGGGAAGAUAAUGACGGUACCUAAAGAAAAAGCACCGGCUAACUCCGUGCCAGCAGCCGCAGUAA
rnacentral:rRNA from 1 species